CUUCGGGAGAAGGCACGCUGACACGUAGGUGAAGUGAUUUACUCAUGGAGCUGAAGUCAGUCGAAGAUACCAGCUGGCUGCAACUGUUUAUUAAAAACACAGCACUGUGCAAACACGAAAGUGGACGUAUACGGUGUGACGCCUGCCCGGUGCCGGAAGGUUAAUUGAUGGGGUCAGCGCAAGCGAAGCUCCUGAUCGAAGCCCCGGUAAACGGCGGCCGUAACUAUAACGGUCCUAAGGUAGCGAAAUUCCUUGUCGGGUAAGUUCCGACCUGCACGAAUGGCGUAAUGAUGGCCAGGCUGUCUCCACCCGAGACUCAGUGAAAUUGAACUCGCUGUGAAGAUGCAGUGUACCCGCGGCAAGACGGAAAGACCCCGUGAACCUUUACUAUAGCUUGACACUGAACAUUGAGCCUUGAUGUGUAGGAUAGGUGGGAGGCUUUGAAGUGUGGACGCCAGUCUGCAUGGAGCCGACCUUGAAAUACCACCCUUUAAUGUUUGAUGUUCUAACGUGGACCCGUGAUCCGGGUUGCGGACAGUGUCUGGUGGGUAGUUUGACUGGGGCGGUCUCCUCCUAAAGAGUAACGGAGGAGCACGAAGGUUGGCUAAUCCUGGUCGGACAUCAGGAGGUUAGUGCAAUGGCAUAAGCCAGCUUGACUGCGAGCGUGACGGCGCGAGCAGGUGCGAAAGCAGGUCAUAGUGAUCCGGUGGUUCUGAAUGGAAGGGCCAUCGCUCAACGGAUAAAAGGUACUCCGGGGAUAACAGGCUGAUACCGCCCAAGAGUUCAUAUCGACGGCGGUGUUUGGCACCUCGAUGUCGGCUCAUCACAUCCUGGGGCUGAAGUAGGUCCCAAGGGUAUGGCUGUUCGCCAUUUAAAGUGGUACGCGAGCUGGGUUUAGAACGUCGUGAGACAGUUCGGUCCCUAUCUGCCGUGGGCGCUGGAGAACUGAGGGGGGCUGCUCCUAGUACGAGAGGACCGGAGUGGACGCAUCACUGGUGUUCGGGUUGUCAUGCCAAUGGCACUGCCCGGUAGCUAAAUGCGGAAGAGAUAAGUGCUGAAAGCAUCUAAGCACGAAACUUGCCCCGAGAUGAGUUCUCCCUGAGACUUUAGGUCUCCUGAAGGAACGUUGAAGACGACGACGUUGAUAGGCCGGGUGUGUAAGCGCAGCGAUGCGUUGAGCUAACCGGUACUAAUGAACCGUGAGGCUUAACCUU
rnacentral:rRNA from 1 species